rnacentral:SRP_RNA from 1 species
CCGUGCUAGGUGGGGAGGUAGCGGUUCCCUGUACUCGAAAUCCGCUUUAUGCGAGACUUAAUUCCUUUGUUGAGGGCGUAUUUUUGUGAAGUCUGCCCGAAGCACGUAGUGUUUGAAGAUUUCGGUCCUAUGCAAUAUGAACCCAUGAACUAUGUCAGGUCCUGACGGAAGCAGCAUUAAGUGGAUCCUCAUAUGUGCCGUAGGGUAGCCGAGAUUUAGCUGUCGACUUCGGUAACGUUUAUGAUAUGCGUUCGAUACAAAGGUGCAUGG